AAAAUAGCCAAUAAAAAAUAUGAUUGCAUCAACCUCUUAUUCAAAACACAUUAGAUGAAUGAAACACAAAGGUCUUCAGGAUUGGUCACUGUCUACUUUGUCAUAUAUGGAAGAAAAUAGUUAACUUUUCUCUGUGUUUCUAUUUAUCAAUUUACAGAUUAUCCUCCAGUGUUUUAAAUCUGUAAAAUAACUGCUGAGGUGCAGUGUGCUAGUUAGAAGCUCUGUUAUUGUCCUCGAUUAUCAUAUUUUAUUAGGAUCAUAUCUUCUACUUGAUUGCUCAGGCAGCAAGGAAUAAUGGACCUUUGGUAUUCCCACUUUGGAGCUAUACACUAUCAACUCUUGACAGUGUUAAAUAUGGGAAAGAAAAGAAUACAGAAUGGAACGAGAAUUCUGCUUCAUUAUUUCCAUCUUUGAGUGACUUUUAAUACAUUUAUCCCCCUAAGAGGCAAAUCACUGUUCUGAUUAUAUUGAUGCACAGCACAGUAGUAUCCUGCUUGUCACAGUCUUUCUCCCCAUUGCCUGCAGUACAUACUAUUGG
rnacentral:lncRNA from 1 species